AUUGAACGCUGGCGGCAGGCCUAACACAUGCAAGUCGAGCGGAUGAAGGGAGCUUGCUCCUGGAUUCAGCGGCGGACGGGUGAGUAAUGCCUAGGAAUCUGCCUGGUGGUGGGGGAUAACGUCCGGAAACGGGCGCUAAUACCGCAUACGUCCUGAGGGAGAAAGUGGGGGAUCUUCGGACCUCACGCUAUCAGAUGAGCCUAGGUCGGAUUAGCUAGUUGGUGGGGUAAAGGCCUACCAAGGCGACGAUCCGUAACUGGUCUGAGAGGAUGAUCAGUCACACUGGAACUGAGACACGGUCCAGACUCCUACGGGAGGCAGCAGUGGGGAAUAUUGGACAAUGGGCGAAAGCCUGAUCCAGCCAUGCCGCGUGUGUGAAGAAGGUCUUCGGAUUGUAAAGCACUUUAAGUUGGGAGGAAGGGCAGUAAGUUAAUACCUUGCUGUUUUGACGUUACCAACAGAAUAAGCACCGGCUAGCUUCGUG
rnacentral:rRNA from 1 species